AUCCAUCUGACGAGUCCCAAAUAGGACUUGACGCACAUCCUGGAU
rfam:Schistosoma rodhaini strain Burundi genome assembly, scaffold: SROB_scaffold0000146